CUACGGGUCGCUCCAGUGAGGAAUAUUGCACAAUGGGGGGAACCCUGAUGCAGCAACGCCGCGUGGAGGAUGACGCAUUUCGGUGUGUAAACUCCUUUUAUAUGUCAAGAAAAUGACGGUAGCAUAUGAAUAAGCACCGGCUAACUCCGUGCCAGCAGGCCGCGGUAAUACGGAGGGUGCAAGCGUUACUCGGAAUCACUGGGCGUAAAGGACGCGUAGGCGGGUUGGAAAGUCAGGUGUGAAAUCCUACAGCUUAACUGUAGAACUGCACUUGAAACUUCUAAUCUAGAGUAUGGGAGGGGGAGAUGGAAUUAGUGGUGUAGGGGUAAAAUCCGUAGAUACCACUAGGAAUACCUAAAGCGAAGGCGAUCUCCUGGAACAUUACUGACGCUAAGGCGUGAAAGCGUGGGGAGCAAACAGGAUUAGAUACCCCGGUAGUC
rnacentral:rRNA from 1 species